rnacentral:rRNA from 1 species
GAUGAACGCUGGCGGCGUGCCUAAUACAUGCAAGUCGAGCGAACAGACGAGGAGCUUGCUCCUCUGACGUUAGCGGUGGACGGGUGAGUAACACGUGGAUAACCUACCUAUAAGACUGGGAUAACUUCGGGAAACCGGAGCUAAUACCGGAUAACAUGUUGAACCGCAUGGUUCAACAGUGAAAGACGGUCUUGCCGUCACUUAUAGAUGGAUCCGCGCCGCAUUAGCUAGUUGGUAAGGUAACGGCUUACCAAGGCAACGAUGCGUAGCCGACCUGAGAGGGUGAUCGGCCACACUGGAACUGAGACACGGUCCAGACUCCUACGGGAGGCAGCAGUAGGGAAUCUUCCGCAAUGGGCGAAAGCCUGACGGAGCAACGCCGCGUGAGUGAAGAAGGUCUUCGGAUCGUAAACUCUGUUAUUAGGGAAGAACAAAUGUGUAAGUAACUAUGCACGUCUUGACGGUACCUAAUCAGAAAGCCACGGCUAACUACGUGCCAGCAGCCGCGGUAA